rnacentral:misc_RNA from 1 species
GUGAUACUUGCCGUCCCUCCAACGGCACAGCACACGAGUACCCACCUCAAGCGGUAGCACACUCGACCUUCUCUUCUUCAACGAGUCAGAUUCUAUCUGCGUCAUUUCGGCGGCCGGCGGAGGCAUUCCGUUGACAACAGAAUGAGGCUUCUGGUAGAAGUCGGCGGCGCCAGCAGGGGACACGGUUGCUGUUGCGCUUCCGGAGCCGUUCUCCGGAUUUGUUGGUGUUUCUAUGGAACCCAUAGCCGGUUUC